CCUCUUCUGGGAGAGAGAGAGGCAGCAAAAACUAAACAAAAACCCUGAGCAGAUAAGAAACUUCUCUCCACCGGCAGGAACGAGCCGUGCCGAAUGUUUCCCUUGUUCCCUGCGCUGCCUCUGACGUCUACGGCAUGUGGAGAUAAUAACUAUAACAGUCGACCACAGUAACCAGACAAUGAACUUUGCACAGGCGUUUAAAUGUUUUUCCAUUUUUUUUCCCGUCAAGAGGCAUCUGUGGCGUCCACAGGUGUGUCGCCGUGGCUCAAAACCAAGGAGGGAGGAUAAGUGUUGAGUGAGCGCAGACAAUAGCUACACUGUCUUCCUCAAACAUCUUCAAGGUCCCCGCGGAGGGAUAAAUGGCCAAGAGGAGGUGCCUUUCUGGGAGAGACUCGUCUGGAGCGUUGCAGGCUUCCAGCGUGCAGCCGGCAAUGGGGCUCUUUACACUCGCUGUUCCUUUUUCCUAUGCAUAUACCUUUUUCAGAUGUAACUUUAAAGAGGUAUAGGGCAUGGGAAAAUGGGGCUGCAGAGGUUUUCCACCGGGCCGACAGCCGUUUCAUCAUCGUCUUCGCAUGACAGUUGACCUCAAAGCGAACACAAACGCACACACUCGCACCGUGCUCCUUGGACUCACUGUCUGGAGGAAGAGGGCGUAGUGUAGACUGGUGAUUUUUGUGUUUCGGUGUUUUUCUGUGGUAUCGUUUCCACAUAAAUUCUGUGAUAUCUGUAGUGGAAAAAUAUUCUGAACGUCCCUGUGAGAAAUAACAAUGACUCAAAACCCUCAAAUUUCACUAUACAUGUACGGAGUGAUUUUAGGUGAAUGGAUAGAGCUCUUUCCCUACAGAUGAUUCAGAGAUCUAACUACAAUAAAGUGUAUAUAUACAGAGUAUAUGUUCACAGUAUUUUGUCUUUCUUUCCAACAUUGUUGUUCAUUGUUGUUAAAACAUCAUUUCACCCUGUUUUAUUCUGAAUCAUUUGUUUGCUACUUUUAAUGAAUAAAGAAGUCUUGGCAUUACA